rnacentral:rRNA from 1 species
GCUCUUUGUAGAUUGAAAUAAAGAGUCGGGCCUGCCCGGUGAUAGUAAACGGCUGCAACGAGAGUUGUACUAAGGUAGCGUGAUAAUUUGCCUUUUAAUUGAAGGAUGGUAUGAAUGGUUUGACGUAUAAUUUCUUUUUUUGUAUAACUUAUUUAAGUUUCUUUUUAAGUGAAAAAGCUUAAGUUUUUGAAAAAGACGAGAAGACCCUGUCGAACUUAAUUAAAGAUAUAAAAAAUUAUGUCUGGAAGUUUUGUUGGGGCAACACUAAUUAAAUUAACAAUUAGUUUAAUAACAUAAAUCCUUUUUGAAAGAAAAUGGAAAAAGUUACCGCAGGGAUAACAGCGUUAUUUCUCUUAAGAGAUCGAAUUGAGAGAGAAGUUUGCGACCUCGAUGUUGGAUUAUAGAAACUUUAUGGUGUAGCAGCUAUAAUUGUGGGACUGUUCGUCUUUUAAAUCUAU